CCACUACAUAAUUAUUCAUUAUCUUUACAAUUAACCAUCUAAAGCUACCACAGUUCUUCAAUCAAAGUAUAUAUCUACAUAUAUAGAGAGAGUACACUUCAUAAUUUCGUCCCUUGUCUUCCGUAAACGUAACACAAAAAUUUGAUACUCAGUAUUGUAAGGCAGGUCGUAGAAACAGUCUUCCUGCACAUAUUUAAAAAUAAUAGCAAGUUAAGAAAAUGAAGCAAAUAUGUCACCAGAGGCACUUAGUGCUAAAAUCAAUACACAAAGACAAUAGAGUUGCUACGUGGUACUAAUGUACACCGUAUUGCUCCGUAUUGCUCAUAAGCAAAAAAAGACAAAUAGGCAAUCAAUAUAUCUCUGUAGAUAGUUUCAUGCCCUUAAUAUCCAUACGUUUCCUUUUGUACCAAAUAAUCCAAAAGAAACACAACAAAGCCAUCUUCCACAAGCUUCAUCGCUGUCUCUUCCCCAAUAGAGGAACCAACUUAAUAACAAAGCCUUAACUGUUGCAGACAUCACCGUGAAGAUCCUGGGCAAGGAAAACAGAAGCUGUCAUAGCUCUCUAUCACCAAACAAUGCAUUAGUAAAUGAUCAACCAACUCCAAUCAUGCAUGUAUAAAAAACAGUAAUGAACAUAUAAUUUCUUCCUCAAGUUCUCACCAGUUAAAAUGGUGCACUAUCAGAUUCCUUGUAAAAGAAUGCAGCUAUACCAGCUACAACUGACCUUGAAUUUUUACUUGGACUUGCACACCGACUCUCCCUGGACACCCAGAAGUUGAGAAUUCUGUAUAAUCUCCUAUUAUC
rnacentral:lncRNA from 1 species